GCCCGGGUGGCGGAGUGGUUACGCGCUAGGUUGUAAAAGUCCUAAGUCAACAAGGGUUCGAAUCCCUUACUUGGCG
rnacentral:tRNA from 1 species